GCCGGGAUAGCUCAGACGGUAGAGCAGGGGCCCGAAAAGCCCUGUGUCCGUGGUUCAAUUCCGCGUCCCGGCACCA
rnacentral:tRNA from 1 species